ACCUAGCAAUAGGUUGAUGGCGACCGGCGCACGGGUGAGUAACACGUAUCCAACCUACCGGUUAUUCCGGGAUAGCCUUUCGAAAGAAAGAUUAAUACCGGAUAGUAUACGAGAAGGCAUCUUUUUGUUAUUAAAGAAUUUCGAUAACCGAUGGGGAUGCGUUCCAUUAGGUAGUAGGCGGGGUAACGGCCCACCUAGCCUGCGAUGGAUAGGGGUUCUGAGAGGAAGGUCCCCCACAUUGGAACUGAGACACGGUCCAAACUCCUACGGGAGGCAGCAGUGAGGAAUAUUGGUCAAUGGACGAGAGUCUGAACCAGCCCAAGUAGCGUGCAGGAUGACGGCCCUAUGGGUUGUAAACUGCUUUUUAUAAGGGAAUAAAGUGAGUCUCGUGAGACUUUUUGCAUGUACCUUAUGAAUAAGGACCGGCUAAUUCCGUG
rnacentral:rRNA from 1 species